ACGGCAGCGAGCCCGUGCCAAGCUGCUCCGCUCAUCGCCCUUUCGACAUCUCUGUGCAGUCGAGGACAUCGUUGCGUACGCGCCGGCGCCCGCGCCAUCGCCCUCGCCGCGCCCGCGUCCUCCAGCGCCGCCGCCGUCUUCUGGUCGCCGCGCCCGGCAGCCGUGCUUCCCUGCAGCUCCGGGCCCAUCGUCGCUGCCACCUUCAUCCACCAGCGCCGCCGCCGCCCACGUAACAUCCCAUCCGGAGCGCAUGCCUGGUCCGUCGACUGCCCUUGCAGACGAGCGACGGCAACGACUGUAGCUUCCUGACACCAUUCAGGGUCCGCCACGGCCCGUCUCCGCCGCUGCGGCGAGCAGCCAGCGACGCCACACGCCGCGGAGCGCAAGCGGAGCACGCACAUGCUGCUGGGCUUCCUCCGCCGCACCGCCGCGGCCGCAUCGUCCUCGCCGGCGGCGGGCCUCCGACAGUUUCAGACUGCAUACCAUAGAAGCAACGAGAGGCUAUCACCUGCCCGAGAGAAGACCAAGAAGUUUCAUACGGUCUUAAUUUGGCCAUUGCUGGAAGAGGUGUCAUUGUGAAAGAUAAGGUCUUCCAUAACUUGGAGACAUCCAAACUUCAGAAAGCUGGUGCUACUUACCUAGACAAACAGUCUGGUAUUCCACUUCAUGUUAGAGGAGAUGUCACUGGCAGGGUCCCUGAUGUUUCAAAAGCUCAAUUUGCAAAGCUUCUGAAACUGGUCACAUUUCACCUUUCAUCCAUCUCAUGUCUAUAUGUUCAAGAUGGUGCCAUUUCUUCUUCCGGAGAAUGUGAUGCAAAGGUCCGAAUCAUUAGUGAUAACCCCUCUGCUAUUAUGUUACUGUCAAAUAUCCUUUGGAAAAUACCAGAUCGUGCAAUUUCCCAUGACACAUCCCCUUUGACUAUAUAUGCUACCAGUUCCAUAAGUAAUAACAUCAAGACUAUUCUUGGUUCUGGAACACAAUAUGCUAAUGGCUUUGCAGCAGCGGACAUUGAACGUGCAUCUCUAAUCCUAUGUGGUAAAGCAUUUGCUGAUUCAGCUAUUGUGAAAGAUGCCCUUACUGCUGUGACAGCCCCGAUAUUAUCUGCAAGAGGCGGCCUUCCUGUUCCAGGCUGGCUUCUGUGCUUUGGUGGUUCUAUUGUAUUAUUGUUUGCUCCAGUGGAGAUAAUCUUGUCCUGCUCAGAAAUUCAGGAUGCUCUAUUGUCUAUUGACUGUGGUGCAGUCAUCUCUUCUAAAGGGUCUACUAUGCUUUUCCCUACCAAGGCAAAGAGGGAGCCAAAAUUGUUUACCAAACCAACUACAGUAAUUAUUGUAUCAUCAGAUAGGUAAUGAAGAGCCUGUUCUUUAAUAACAUGAUUUCUCUUGUUUAAAACAAACCAUCUAUGGAGUGCUGUAACAGAUCUUUUGCUAAACAGCAACAUCAGCAUACACUUGUCUGACAGUUAAAAAAGAAAUAAACUAGUAGCUGCGACGAUGAGGAAUGAAUCUCCAAGUUUGCUAACAAUGUGUUGCUGUCUUCUGUACUUCCAGCACUGGUGCCAUACCAUCAGUAUCAAAGCUCUCUCCUGGCCAGGCUGCUUACCAUUUCUUGGUUGGGUACCAUGAUGGUAAAUUCAUCCCGGCUUACAGCAGGGGGCCCUCUCCUGCUGACCCACUUGCACUUGCAAGUUCCUUAUUCACACAUUUGAAAGAAGAUGAUACACCAACAUAUCUGAUCAAUGCUAAGCACUCUGGAAAGUUCUUUGAUGGCAAGGGGUUUAUGAAACUGUUAGAGCUGGCACUAUCUCAGAAUCUGCCUGACAUCAAAACUGAAGACUUUAGAGUUGGCGAACUUAAGGGGAAGUACAGGAGCUUUCUAUCCAGGAAAUUUGGGAAAUGUUUACCCGAGGAAUUUUCUUUCUAGGAUAUGUACUCUGAUGCUGUAGUGUACAUUUAUCUUUUACUAGCACAGAUUUACAUUUUAACUAGAAUAUAUGUCCUAUUCGGCCUCAAUUAAAAAAGGUUACAUUAUUAGCUUAAGUUUCCUCUCUCUUGGCGCUUGGAUACUGUAAUGGACCAUGAUUUGGCUUGGGCUGCAUAUUCAUUUCAGUCAAAAUUUUGUUAAGCAGCA